UAAUACGAAUGGAGCGAGCGUUGUUCGGAAUCACUGGGCGUAAAGGGUGCGCAGGCGGUCAUGAAAGUCAGAAGUGAAAUCCCAGGGCUUAACCCUGGAAUGGCUUUUGAAACUCCAUGACUAGAGUAUUGGAGAGGUUGGCGGAAUUCCGAGUGUAGAGGUGAAAUUCGCAGAUAUUCGGAGGAACACCAAUGGCGUAGGCAGCCAACUGGACAAUUACUGACGCUCAUGCACGAAAGCGUGGGGAUCAAACAGG
rnacentral:rRNA from 1 species